rnacentral:rRNA from 1 species
UACGUAGGGGGCAAGCGUUGUCCGGAUUUAUUGGGCGUAAAGAGCGUGUAGGCGGCCAGGUAGGUCUGCUGUGAAAACUCGAGGCUUAACCUCGAGCUGUCGGCGGAAACCAUCCGGCUAGAGUCCGGAAGAGGAGAAUGGAAUUCCCGGUGUAGCGGUGAAAUGCGCAGAUAUCGGGAAGAACACCCGUGGCGAAGGCGGUUCUCUGGGACGGUACUGACGCUGAGACGCGAAAGCGUGGGGAGCGAACAGG